AGAGUUUGAUCAUGGCUCAGGAUGAACGCUGGCGGCGUGCUUAACACAUGCAAGUCGAACGAGGUCCAACCUUCGGGUGAAGACCGAGUGGCGAACGGGUGAGUAACACGUGGGGAACCUGCCCUUCUCUCUGGGAUAACCUCGGGAAACCGAAGCUAAUACCGGAUACUCCUUGCGGACCGCAUGGUCUGCUCGGGAAAGCUCCGGCGGGGAAGGAUGGCCCCGCGGCCCAUUAGCUUGUUGGUGGGGUAACGGCCCACCAAGGCGACGAUGGGUAGCCGAGCUGAGAGGCUGAUCGGCCACACUGGGACUGAGACACGGCCCAGACUCCUACGGGAGGCAGCAGUGGGGAAUCUUGCGCAAUGGGCGAAAGCCUGACGCAGCAACGCCGCGUGCGGGAUGAAGGCUCUCGGGUCGUAAACCGCUUUCAGCAGGGAUGAAAAUGACAGUACCUGCAGAAGAAGCCCCGGCUAAAUACGUGCCAGCAGCCGCGGUAAUACGUAUGGGGCAAGCGUUAUCCGGAUUCAUUGGGCGUAAAGCGCGCGUAGGCGGCUUGUUAAGUCAGGCGUGAAAUCCGGGGGCUCAACCCGCGGCUUGCGUCUGAAACUGGCAGGCUUGAGUCUGGUAGAGGAAAGUGGAAUUCCUGGUGUAGCGGUGAAAUGCGCAGAUAUCAGGAGGAACACCAGUGGCGAAGGCGGCUUUCUGGGCCACGACUGACGCUGAGGCGCGAAAGCUAGGGGAGCGAACAGGAUUAGAUACCCUGGUAGUC
rnacentral:rRNA from 1 species